GCCUUGAUGGUGAAAUGGUAGACACGCGAGACUCAAAAUCUCGUGCUGAAUUCGAGUCCUCUUCAAGGCA
rnacentral:tRNA from 1 species